GACCACUCUGGUGGACUAGUGGGUAGAGCGUUCGCCUCAGAGGCGGGAAGUCACCGGUUCGAACCCCGGCCAAGUCA